GUCUACGGCCAUACCUCCCUGAAGGUGCCCGAUCUUGUCUGAUCUUGGAAGCUAAGCAGAGCCGGGCCUGGUUAGUACUUCGACAGGAGAAUAAAUAGAUACACCUUGGCUAAAGGAA
ensembl:rRNA 5S_rRNA 5S ribosomal RNA